AUGGGGAGGUCUCCUUGCUGCGAUGAGAAUGGCCUCAAGAAGGGGCCUUGGACACCCGAAGAGGACCAGAAGCUCACGGACUACAUCGAGAAGCAUGGCCAUGGGAGCUGGAGAGCGCUGCCUAAGCUUGCAGGGCUCAACAGGUGUGGCAAGAGCUGCAGACUGAGAUGGACCAACUACCUGAGGCCUGAUAUCAAGAGAGGGAAGUUCACACCUGAGGAAGAGCAGACCAUCCUCCAGCUCCAUUCCGUCCUUGGCAACAAGUACGGCACACCUAUCAAUCUGUUGUAUAAUCUUCAAAAACGUAUAUAUGUGGUACUCUUGCUAACACACAGAAACUGUUGUGCUGAUCAAACCAGGUGGUCAGCCAUCGCAAAGCACCUCCCUGGACGGACCGACAAUGAGAUCAAGAACUUCUGGAACACCCACCUGAAGAAGAAGCUGAUCCAGAUGGGCUUCGACCCGAUGACGCACCGACCGAGGACCGACUUCUUCGCCGCUCUGCCACAGCUCAUCGCGCUAGCCAACCUCCGCCAGCUCGUGGAGCAGCGCCCGUGGGAUGACCAAAGUGCCAACCAGCUGCAAGCCGAUGCAGUCCAGGCAGCAAAGCUCGAGUACUUACAGUGCCUGCUUCAGUCGGCAGCAACCAUUGCGACUAGUCCCAGCUCCAGCAGCAUCAACACCAUCCCCACUGACCUGGAGCAAAUCGGUCUCCUGAGCCCUUCGCAGAUGUCUUCCUUGUCUUCGCUGUCAUCUCCAAGGAUCCUGGAGGGUAUUAAUGGCCAAGACUUAGUAACUGGGCAAGUGUCUGACAUCCAGAUACCUAGUAGCUCAUUCUUCGAACACGAACAGCCUAUCAUCAAUGGUACCAACCAGAACUCAGAUUACAGUGCAAACAGCGGCGAGGGGGAGAAUAGCACCCAGAAACCGCUGCUCCUGUCAGAGGACUCCCUUCCGCCACUUGCCGACUUCUCUAUUUCCAACCUCGGCGAUGCUUGCAGCACCUCAAGCUGUCACGCUGAGGGCAACAGCACCCAACUCCCUAUUUGGUCCGACUCAUUUUAUGAUGAGUUCAUGAGCGAGUUUGCAUGA
rnacentral:rRNA from 1 species